AGAGUCAUUAGCAUAGCUAUUACAUCAAAUAUUGAUUAAUUCCUGGGCCCUCCUCCCAGGAUCCAGACCUAAUUGGGUUGGGAUGAGGCUGGUACUUUUUCACAAGCUGGGGAUUGGGCUGAGAGGUGCUGCUGUUUGGGUAGGCAGAGUCUUAUAGUGUCUGAUCAUCAAAUCACCUCUUCCCAAAUGCUGGGCAUGAUAUUUCCCAAACUUGAGUCCUAGAGUCUGUGCUGAUCCAGUGGAGAAAGGCCCGUAUAAAUGAAAGUGUUAGGAAAAUGCAAUUUUGCUGCAGCCUGGUAACGUGGCUUAUUAACUGCUAACUAACUCUUGCCCGAUAGUGCUCCCGGAGGGGCUGGAGGUAAUGAAUAAGAUGGAGGAAUCAGGCGCAUUUGUAAUUACACAUUAGCACCACUAAAGUGCUGCUCACACCUACUGCUCCCCUUCCCGGAGUGUCUCAGAGGCCAGCCUCUGUGCCUGGGGGCAAACUUUCUGUUGCUUAUUUAAUUAUGCUGUGUCCACAGCUAAUCGCUUUUAGAUUUGCCUAAUUCUUUUGCAGUGGAGCACCUCUGGAAUGGGACCAUUUGCAUAUCUGUCUUAAUUACUCUUUGCAUAAGAAGAGAUUGGGAGCUGCCAUUCUUAUUUGGAUGCAUCAGGGCCAAUUCAAGCUGCAGGGAGAGGUGGAACUGAGGACUCCCUGCCUGGACUGGAGACUAUGGACUCACAAACCUACCAACUUUGGUUUCUGCUUCUGGCAUCCAGCUGCCACCGCCAAGUUUGAGUUCUGAGACCAAAUCAACACACCUGUCCUUCCCUGCGGGAGCCACGUGUGAUCUUGGUUCAAUGAUGUUUCUAGACAUCCUUUCCAACUACAGCGCUAGAUGGUGGAGGGGAGAUUUUUAAAAAAGAGACCUUGAAGUCACAAUCCCUCUGGUGGGAUUUCCCCACCAAAAAAUAUGGAAUAUUAAGGAUGAGGAACCUCAAAAGUCAUCUAGCCUGGGGCCACAUGUUCAAAUGUUUAUGCAGCUCUUUCUAAUGGUACUUUCU
rnacentral:lncRNA from 1 species